rnacentral:rRNA from 1 species
UGGGCAACCUGCCCCAGACACAGGGAUAACCCCGGGAAACCGGGGCUAAUCCCGGAUACUCCGGUCGAACCGCAUGGCUCGAUCGGGAAAGCUCCGACGGUCUGGGAUGGGCCCGCGGCCUAUCAGCUUGUUGGUGAGGUAAUGGCUUACCAAGGCGACGACGGGUAGCCGGCCUGAGAGGGUGACCGGCCACACUGGGACUGAGACACGGCCCAGACUCCUACGGGAG